GUGAAUGUGCCGAGAAGUUUGCCAACAGUUGGCAUUUUUAUAUUACUUAUAUAAUAUAAUAAUUUAAACUAUUAUAAAAAUGGUACUAAAUAUCGAACUUCGUCGUGGAAACUGAGGCAAAACCUGUGAAAAAAACAAUAAAUAAAUAAAAAAACACCUUGCAAAAAGAAGUAUGACUUUUAGAACAACUUAAAUGCGCGGCGGGAAAGAGAACUGUCAAGUCAAAGGUGAAAAAUAGUGAUGUGUCAUUAUUGGAGCUAAAUUGGAAAUGUUCUUAGUCGAUCGAUUGCGAAAUAACCUACCUGGCAGUGGGCGCGAGGUGCGUCAUAGCGACGAGCAUGAGGUGCAGGAAGUCAGCGGCGGCGCUCUGUACGCACCAGUUGAGGCGGGUGCCGCCCCAGCGCCCUGCGGCCGCCGAGCGCUCCAACGCGCGAGACAGCCGUCCCGAGAGGAACGCCGUUGAUGGCGCUUCUGAAUCUGUUGAGUAUAUUAUUCAGUUUCAAUUCGAUAUUAUUUACUGUCUACAAAAUCAGACAACAAUUCAACUCUUUUUAUAACUAGCCCAAUUUUUUGGUACGGAAAUAGUUUAAUUAUGAACUGGGUUAUUGUUGUUAGAUAUUCGUCCUACUGCUUGGAACAUGCUCCCUUCCUUCAAAAUAAGUAAGGAACAUAAGGAAAUAAGGCUAACGCAAAGUUACUAUAGUAACCUAUCUUGCGACAACAACUCUGUGAAAUAAAUAUCUGAAAAAAGUGUUUAUAAA